rnacentral:rRNA from 1 species
CCUACGGGAGGCAGCAGUCGAGAAUCAUUCACAAUGGGGGAAACCCUGAUGGUGCGACGCCGCGUGGGGGAAUGAAGGUCUUCGGAUUGUAAACCCCUGUCAUGUGGGAGCAAAUUAAAAAGAUAGUACCACAAGAGGAAGAGACGGCUAACUCUGUGCAAGCAGCCGCGGUAAUACAGAGGUCUCAAGCGUUGUUCGGAACCACUGGGCGUAAGGCGUGCGUAGGCUGUUGCGUAAGUCGUGUGUGAAAGGCGCGGGCUCACCCCGCGGACGGCACAUGAUACUGCGAGACUAGAGUAAUGGAGGGGGAACCGGAAUUCUCGGUGUAGCAGUGAAAUGCGUAGAUAUCGAGAGGAACACUCGUGGCGAAGGCGGGUUCCUGGACAUUAACUGACGCUGAGGCACGAAGGCCAGGGGAGCGAAAGGGAUUAGAUACCCCAGUAGUC